UACAGAGGUCCCAAGCGUUGUUCGGAUUCAUUGGGCGUAAAGGGUGCGUAGGCGGCGCGGUAAGUCGGGUGUGAAAUCUCGGAGCUUAACUCCGAAACUGCAUUCGAUACUGCCGUGCUUGAGGACUGGAGAGGAGACUGGAAUUUACGGUGUAGCAGUGAAAUGCGUAGAUAUCGUAAGGAAGACCAGUGGCGAAGGCGAGUCUCUGGACAGCAACUGACGCUGAGGCACGAAGGCCAGGGGAGCAAACGGG
rnacentral:rRNA from 1 species